UCCCCCGUGCUUGAUUGGAAAAUUCUCCAUU
rnacentral:piRNA from 1 species